GAUGAACGCUGGCGGCGUGCCUAAUACAUGCAAGUCGAGCGAACAGACGAGGAGCUUGCUCCUCUGACGUUAGCGGCGGACGGGUGAGUAACACGUGGAUAACCUACCUAUAAGACUGGGAUAACUUCGGGAAACCGGAGCUAAUACCGGAUAAUAUAUUGAACCGCAUGGUUCAAUAGUGAAAGACGGUUUUGCUGUCACUUAUAGAUGGAUCCGCGCCGCAUUAGCUAGUUGGUAAGGUAACAGCUUACCAAGGCAACGAUGCUUGGCCGACCUGAGGGGUUGAUCGCCCAAAUGGGAACUGAGCCCCGGCCCAACCCCCUCGGGGAGGAGGCAUGAGGAAUAUUGCAGCAAUGGGCGAAAGCUUGACGGAGCAACGCCGCGUGAGUGAUGAAGGUCUUCGGUUCGUAAAACCCUGUUAUUAGGGAAGAACAAAUGUGUAGUAACUAUGCACGUCUUGACGGUACCUAAUCAGAAAGCCACGGCUAACUACGUG
rnacentral:rRNA from 1 species